GUAACCCAUUUCAGUAACCCCCCCUCCACUGACCCCGCCUGACUCCUCACGGCGUUCCUAAAGACUAGAGAAGGGAGGGGAGAGGAACUGUAGAGGAGUAGGGCGGAGAAACAGAGCGCGUGCGCGGAGUGACUGACUGCGGGAGCCUGGGACCUGGAGAACCCCGGGGCCGGAGGAGAAACCGACCUUGGCCAGCCGUAGCAGCCGUGGCUACCUUCCCGGGCUUUUCCAGCCGCUCCUCCCAUGGCGCCCCUCCACCCCCGCCCCCGUGCUCAUUAGCAGGGCCAGGCUCUGAACACUUCUGCAAGGAAUAUCUGGGUUUUGCUUUGAUUUGUUUUGUAUUUUCUUGGGUCUUACUGCUGUUUUCUUCAGAUGCUGAGUCCUGUAUUCUUCAAGAUACUCAGGGGCAACUGAAUACACUGAAAGAGCAUACCCCAAGCUGUCUGAUCCUGAAUAAAGUUUGAUUGCUGCCUCUCUGGUCUAAGCUUUGCAAGCUUCUGACCCAGAUUUGAGUUUGGACAACACAACUAGGAGUUUGCCUCUGGUUGGACCCCUCAUAGACUGCUUCUGGGUACAGCCACCACCAGCUAGCUGGAAGGUUGGGCAGAUGCAGAGCAACAAAACUACAGUCUUCCUUUUAUUCUCAUCUCCUUGCUCUGAUGAUUCAGCUAUAGGCUUUAUGUCAGGCUGGGGGCUAGAUGCCAGACCCCACUCCAAGACCAGAGGUCCAUAGCCUCUGCACACUUCCAUUCCUGCUCCUUGCCUGUUACAUGGCAUCAGGUCUGUGACCACUCCUUGACCACUUUUCCCUCUGCUCUUCCACUUGAAGGACCGUUCCUCCCUGAAUCAAUGCUGGAUCUGCAACCCAGCUCUGGAGUAUGAGCAAAAGAAUUGCCAGUUUCUAUUAUCCUUGCCACCUACACUGCUGUCAGCUUCCUCCAUGCUAGAUCCUUGACUAUUUCUUGCCCUAGUGCACAGCUUCAAGCUUUGUUUGAUAUCCUCAGGACUCUCUUUGGAACAGCUAGGUGGUGCAAUGGAUAGAGAUCUGCCCUUGGAGUCAGGAAGAUCUGAGUUCAAAUUUGGCCUCAGACACUUAAUAGCUGUAUGAACCUUGUCAAGUCACUUUAUCCCAGUUGCUAAACCCUUAGAAUUUUUCUGCCUUGUAACCAACACUUAGUAGUGAUUCUUGGAUGGAAAGUAAGGAUUUAAAAAAAAAAACUCUCUUUGGCACUCUCUUGGCUAGACAUAGACUAGACAGUGCCUACAGACUUUUGUAAAUUUUUCAAUGCUGACCUGGCCUAAAAAAUAAAUGACUUGUUGUCAUUAUCCCUU
rnacentral:lncRNA from 1 species